rnacentral:misc_RNA from 1 species
GAUGAAGAACGUAGCAAAAUGCGAUACUUGGUGUGAAUUGCAGAAUCCCGUGGACCAUCGAGUUUUUGAACGCAAGUUGCGCCCGAAGCCUUUUGGCCGAGGGCACGUCUGCCUGGGCGUCACGCAUCGCGUCGCCCCCCCACAAUUCUCCGUAAAGGGAACAUGUGUUUUGGGGGCGGAUAUUGGUCUCCCGUGCUCAUGGCGUGGUUGGCCGAAAUAGGAGUCCUUUCGAUGGACGCACGAACUAGUGGUGGUCGUAAAAACCCUCGUCUUUUGUUUCGUGCUGUUGCUCGCAAGGUAAACUCUUUAAAAACCCCAAUGCGUCGUCUCUUGACGACGCUUCGACCGCGACCCCAGGUCAGGCGGGACUACCCGCUGAGUUUAAGCAUAUCAAUAAGCGGAGGA